AUUGAACGCUGGCGGCAGGCUUAACACAUGCAAGUCGAGCGGGGGAAGGUAGCUUGCUACCGGACCUAGCGGCGGACGGGUGAGUAAUGCUUAGGAGACUGCCUAUUAGUGGGGGACAACAUCUCGAAAGGGAUGCUAAUACCGCAUACGUCCUACGGGAGAAAGCAGGGGAUCUUCGGACCUUGCGCUAAUAGAUGAGCCUAAGUCGGAUUAGCUAGUUGGUGGGGUAAAGGCCUACCAAGGCGACGAUCUGUAGCGGGUCUGAGAGGAUGAUCCGCCACACUGGGACUGAGACACGGCCCAGACUCCUACGGGAGGCAGCAGUGGGGAAUAUUGGACAAUGGGGGGAACCCUGAUCCAGCCAUGCCGCGUGUGUGAAGAAGGCCUUAUGGUUGUAAAGCACUUUAAGCGAGGAGGAGGCUACUCUAGUUAAUACCUAGGGAUAGUGGACGUUACUCGCAGAAUAAGCACCGGCUAACUCUGUGCCAGCCGCCGCGGUAA
rnacentral:rRNA from 1 species